AACCAGUGAUGCAAAAGAUUCUGCCAAAUGACAGGAUAAUGAUUUUAAUCAUAAACCGUUCCAUUUUUUUAAAACUGAGGUU
ensembl:snoRNA